GAAUCUUCGGCAAUGGACGAAAGUCUGACCGAGCAACGCCGCGUGAGUGAUGAAGGUUUUCGGAUCGUAAAGCUCUGUUGCCAGGGAAGAGAAGCCUUGUGUUAACUGCACAAGGUGUGACGGUACCUGAGAAGAAAGACCCGGCUAACUACGUGCCAGCAGCCGCGGUAAUACGUAGGGGGCAAGCGUUGUCCGGAAUUAUUGGGCGUAAAGCGCGCGCAGGCGGCUGUUUAAGUCUGGUGUUUAAGACAAGGGCUCAACUCUUGUUCGCAUCGGAAACUGGGCAGCUUGAGUGUAGGAGAGGAAAGUGGAAUUCCACGUGUAGCGGUGAAAUGCGUAGAGAUGUGGAGGAACACCAGUGGCGAAGGCGACUUUCUGGCCUAUAACUGACGCUGAGGCGCGAAAGCGUGGGGAGCAAACAG
rnacentral:rRNA from 1 species